rnacentral:rRNA from 2 species
GGGUUGUGAGGUUAAGCGACCAAGCGUACACGGUGGAUGCCCUGGCAGUCAGAGGCGAUGAAGGACGUGCUAAUCUGCGAUAAGCGCCGGUAAGGUGAUAUGAACCGUUAUAACCGGCGAUUUCCGAAUGGGGAAACCCAGUGUGACUCGUCACACUAUCAUUAACUGAAUCCAUAGGUUAAUGAGGCGAACCGGGGGAACUGAAACAUCUAAGUACCCCGAGGAAAAGAAAUCAACCGAGAUUCCCCCAGUAGCGGCGAGCGAACGGGGAGGAGCCCAGAGCCUGAAUCAGCAUGUGUGUUAGUGGAAGCGUCUGGAAAGGCGCGCGAUACAGGGUGACAGCCCCGUACACAAAAGCGCACAUGCUGUGAGCUCGAUGAGUAGGGCGGGACACGUGGUAUCCUGUCUGAAUAUGGGGGGACCAUCCUCCAAGGCUAAAUACUCCUGACUGACCGAUAGUGAACCAGUACCGUGAGGGAAAGGCGAAAAGAACCCCGGCGAGGGGAGUGAAACAGAACCUGAAACCGUGUACGUACAAGCAGUGGGAGCACAGGUUUACCUGUGUGACUGCGUACCUUUUGUAUAAUGGGUCAGCGACUUAUAUUCUGUAGCAAGGUUAACCGCAUAGGGGAGCCGAAGGGAAACCGAGUCUUAACCGGGCGUUAAGUUGCAGGGUAUAGACCCGAAACCCGGUGAUCUAGCCAUGGGCAGGUUGAAGGUUGGGUAACACUAACUGGAGGACCGAACCGACUAAUGUUGAAAAAUUAGCGGAUGACCUGUGGCUGGGGGUGAAAGGCCAAUCAAACCGGGAGAUAGCUGGUUCUCCCCGAAAGCUAUUUAGGUAGCGCCUCGUGAAUUCAUCUCCGGGGGUAGAGCACUGUUUCGGCUAGGGGGCCAUCCCGGCUUACCAACCCGAUGCAAACUGCGAAUACCGGAGAAUGUUAUCACGGGAGACACACGGCGGGUGCUAACGUCCGUCGUGAAGAGGGAAACAACCCAGACCGCCAGCUAAGGUCCCAAAGUCAUGGUUAAGUGGGAAACGAUGUGGGAAGGCCCAGACAGCCAGGAUGUUGGCUUAGAAGCAGCCAUCAUUUAAAGAAAGCGUAAUAGCUCACUGGUCGAGUCGGCCUGCGCGGAAGAUGUAACGGGGCUAAACCAUGCACCGAAGCUGCGGCAGCGACACUGUGUGUUGUUGGGUAGGGGAGCGUUCUGUAAGCCUGUGAAGGUGGCCUGUGAGGGUUGCUGGAGGUAUCAGAAGUGCGAAUGCUGACAUAAGUAACGAUAAAGCGGGUGAAAAGCCCGCUCGCCGGAAGACCAAGGGUUCCUGUCCAACGUUAAUCGGGGCAGGGUGAGUCGACCCCUAAGGCGAGGCCGAAAGGCGUAGUCGAUGGGAAACGGGUUAAUAUUCCCGUACUUGGUGUUACUGCGAAGGGGGGACGGAGAAGGCUAUGUUGGCCGGGCGACGGUUGUCCCGGUUUAAGCGUGUAGGUGUGUGUUCCAGGUAAAUCCGGUUCACUUUAACACUGAGGCGUGACGACGAGGCACCACGGUGCUGAAGCAACAAAUGCCCUGCUUCCAGGAAAAGCCUCUAAGCAUCAGGUAACAUCAAAUCGUACCCCAAACCGACACAGGUGGUCAGGUAGAGAAUACCAAGGCGCUUGAGAGAACUCGGGUGAAGGAACUAGGCAAAAUGGUGCCGUAACUUCGGGAGAAGGCACGCUGACACGUAGGUGAAGUGAUUUACUCAUGGAGCUGAAGUCAGUCGAAGAUACCAGCUGGCUGCAACUGUUUAUUAAAAACACAGCACUGUGCAAACACGAAAGUGGACGUAUACGGUGUGACGCCUGCCCGGUGCCGGAAGGUUAAUUGAUGGGGUCAGCGCAAGCGAAGCUCCUGAUCGAAGCCCCGGUAAACGGCGGCCGUAACUAUAACGGUCCUAAGGUAGCGAAAUUCCUUGUCGGGUAAGUUCCGACCUGCACGAAUGGCGUAAUGAUGGCCAGGCUGUCUCCACCCGAGACUCAGUGAAAUUGAACUCGCUGUGAAGAUGCAGUGUACCCGCGGCAAGACGGAAAGACCCCGUGAACCUUUACUAUAGCUUGACACUGAACAUUGAGCCUUGAUGUGUAGGAUAGGUGGGAGGCUUUGAAGCGUGGACGCCAGUCUGCGUGGAGCCGACCUUGAAAUACCACCCUUUAAUGUUUGAUGUUCUAACGUGGACCCGUGAUCCGGGUUGCGGACAGUGUCUGGUGGGUAGUUUGACUGGGGCGGUCUCCUCCUAAAGAGUAACGGAGGAGCACGAAGGUUGGCUAAUCCUGGUCGGACAUCAGGAGGUUAGUGCAAUGGCAUAAGCCAGCUUGACUGCGAGCGUGACGGCGCGAGCAGGUGCGAAAGCAGGUCAUAGUGAUCCGGUGGUUCUGAAUGGAAGGGCCAUCGCUCAACGGAUAAAAGGUACUCCGGGGAUAACAGGCUGAUACCGCCCAAGAGUUCAUAUCGACGGCGGUGUUUGGCACCUCGAUGUCGGCUCAUCACAUCCUGGGGCUGAAGUAGGUCCCAAGGGUAUGGCUGUUCGCCAUUUAAAGUGGUACGCGAGCUGGGUUUAGAACGUCGUGAGACAGUUCGGUCCCUAUCUGCCGUGGGCGCUGGAGAACUGAGGGGGGCUGCUCCUAGUACGAGAGGACCGGAGUGGACGCAUCACUGGUGUUCGGGUUGUCAUGCCAAUGGCACUGCCCGGUAGCUAAAUGCGGAAGAGAUAAGUGCUGAAAGCAUCUAAGCACGAAACUUGCCCCGAGAUGAGUUCUCCCUGAGACUUAGAGUCUCCUGAAGGAACGUUGAAGACGACGACGUUGAUAGGCCGGGUGUGUAAGUGCAGCGAUGCGUUGAGCUAACCGGUACUAAUGAACCGUGAGGCUUAACCUUACAACGCCGAAG